GGGGUGCUCUAGUAGGGUUAACCGCCCGAGAGAGCCGCAGUGAAAAGAUCCAAGCGACUGUUUAGCAAAAACACAGGUCUCUGCGAAGCCGUAAGGCGAAGUAUAGGGGCUGACACCUGCCCGGUGCUGGAAGGUUAAGAGGAAGGGUCAUCCCAAAUGGUGAGAAGCUCUGAAUUGAAGCCCCAGUAAACGGCGGCCGUAACUAUAACGGUCCUAAGGUAGCGAAAUUCCUUGUCGGGUAAGUUCCGACCCGCACGAAUGGUGCAACGACUUGGAUACUGUCUCAACGAGAGACCCGGUGAAAUUAUAGUACCUGUGAAGAUGCAGGUUACCCGCGACAGGACGGAAAGACCCCAUGGAGCUUUACUGUAGCUUGAUAGUGAGUGUUGGUAUCAUCUGUACAGGAUAGGUAGGAGCCUUGGAAACCGGAGCGCUAGCUUCGGUGGAGGCGUCGGUGGGAUACUACCCUGAUGGUGCUGGCAUUCUAACCUCGACCCGUGAUCCGGGCCAGGGACAUUGUCAGGUGGGCAGUUUGACUGGGGCGGU
rnacentral:rRNA from 2 species